rnacentral:rRNA from 1 species
CAAUGGCGUAUAUUAAAGUUGUUGCAGUUAAAAAGCUCGUAGUUGGAUUUCUGGCAGGAGCGACCGGUCGGCCCAAGUGGUGUGUACUAGUGUUGCAUCUGGCCAUAUUUGCGGAGAGCGUGUGUGGCAUUAAUUUGUCGUGCACGGGACCCGCAUCGUUUACUGUGAGAAAAUUAGAGUGUUCAAAGCAGGCUUAUGCCUUGGAUAUGUUAGCAUGGAAUAAUAGAAUAGGACUUUGGUUCUAUUUUGUUGGUUCUAGGACCGAAGUAAUGAUUAAUAGGGACAGUUGGGGGCAUUAGUAUUUAAUUGUCAGAGGUGAAAUUCUUGGAUUUAUGAAAGACUAACUACUGCGAAAGCAUUUGCCAAGGAUGUUUUCAUUAAUCAAGAACGAAAGUUAGGGGAUCGAAGACGAUCAGAU